GGCCCGAUAGCUCAGUGGAACGAGUGGCGCUUUCCGGUGAGUUCACCAACUCAGUAGGCUGGCUGGCGCAGGUCCCGGGUUCGACCCCCGGUCGGGUCU